UUUAUGGAGAGUUUGAUCCUGGCUCAGGAUGAACGCUGGCGGCGUGCCUAAUACAUGCAAGUCGAGCGAACGGACGAGAAGCUUGCUUCUCUGAUGUUAGCGGCGGACGGGUGAGUAACACGUGGAUAACCUACCUAUAAGACUGGGAUAACUUCGGGAAACCGGAGCUAAUACCGGAUAAUAUUUUGAACCGCAUGGUUCAAAAGUGAAAGACGGUCUUGCUGUCACUUAUAGAUGGAUCCGCGCUGCAUUAGCUAGUUGGUAAGGUAACGGCUUACCAAGGCAACGAUGCAUAGCCGACCUGAGAGGGUGAUCGGCCACACUGGAACUGAGACACGGUCCAGACUCCUACGGGAGGCAGCAGUAGGGAAUCUUCCGCAAUGGGCGAAAGCCUGACGGAGCAACGCCGCGUGAGUGAUGAAGGUCUUCGGAUCGUAAAACUCUGUUAUUAGGGAAGAACAUAUGUGUAAGUAACUGUGCACAUCUUGACGGUACCUAAUCAGAAAGCCACGGCUAACUACGUGCCAGCAGCCGCGGUAAUACGUAGGUGGCAAGCGUUAUCCGGAAUUAUUGGGCGUAAAGCGCGCGUAGGCGGUUUUUUAAGUCUGAUGUGAAAGCCCACGGCUCAACCGUGGAGGGUCAUUGGAAACUGGAAAACU
rnacentral:rRNA from 1 species